UGCCCGUGAUAGUCCCUCUGAGAUGUUACUGAAUUACAAGGUCCGAGAAAUCCUGACCACAAGCCAACAGAUCCCUCAGAAGAACAUCAGGGCACAAAAGGACAUGUUCUUCACUGUAGCAAAGAGAAGUAAAUAAAAAGACUGUUAUAGAAGAGAAACAAGAGGAAAGCCACAAAGGAUUUCAGCCAAAGGAAAACUUAUACGAAUCUUAAAAUGAAGCUCCAGAUAUGUCAGUUGAUUGAGUGACAUAUAUGUAAAGAGAGCCAGGAAUUCACUGAUUAUGUGCUGAUCCAAAAAGCCCUUUGAAAUUAAGAAAUAAUAAAAAAAAAAAG
rnacentral:lncRNA from 1 species